GCCUGAGUGGCUCAGUCAGUUGAGCGUCUGACUUCAGCUCAGGUAUGAUCUCAUGGUUCGUGAGUUCGAGCCCCAUGUCAGGCU
rnacentral:tRNA from 1 species